rnacentral:lncRNA from 1 species
AUAUAGCUGCUUCCUUCCUGACACUGAGGAGGAUGGCAGACCCCGGGAGCAGGAGAAAAUGGCCUUCUCCAUACUGGGCACCUGGCUGGACCAGUACCCCCAGGAUUUUUUCCAGCCCCCACAUUUCAUCAGGCUGAAGAUGCUGAAGGCAUAUGUAGGGGUCCACAUUCCAGGCUCCAAACUGCAGUGCUGUGCCUGCCUUCUCUACUCAUCGUGGAGAAACCGUGAGCCCCAAGAGCCAGAGUCUUGGGGGCAAGAUCCAGACAUCCCUCAGGAGCUAGCACCUGAUAUGUCUGUGGUGCCCGCUGCAGCUUCGCAGCCCAAGUUGGCUGAAGACACCACUCACCCUGGAGCUCAGCAAUUAGAAGAAUCAGUGACCCUCCAUGCAGCAUCCCUGCCAGUGCAGGUGUUAGUCGCAGCACUAAUUCACUGUCAGGAGCUGGAAGAGCCACCUGCCCCUUUGGUGGACCCAGAACCUGAGCAGCCUCCAUCUCCAGCUGUCGGGGUCAUGGAAGGGCUGGAGCAACCACCUGCUGCAGCUUCACAGCCCAAGCUGGCUGAAGACACCACUCAUCCUGGAGCUCAGCAAUUAGAAGAAGCAGUGACCCUCCCUACAGCUUCACCACAAGUGCGGGUGGUAGUCCCAGUUCUGAUUCACUGUCAGGAGCUGGAAGAGCCACAUGUCCCUUUGGAGGACCCAGAAGUUGAGCAGCCUUCAGCCCCAGCUGUCGGGGUCGCAGAAGGGCUGGAUCAACCACCUGCUGCAGCUUUGCAGUGCAAACUGGCUAAGGACACCACUCAUCCUAGAGCUCAGCACAUAGAAGAGUUGAGCCUCCCUGCAGCGAACCCACCAGUGCAGGUUGUAGUCCCAGCUCUGAUUCACUGUCAGGGGCUGGAAGAGCCACCUGCCCCGUUGGUGGACCCACAACCUGAGCAGCCUCCAGCCCCAGCUGGCGGGGGCAUGGAAGGGCUGGAGCAACCACCUGCUGUAGCUGAGCAACCAGCCUUAGCUCCUGAGCAGCGGCUCAUGUUGGCUGCAGCCCCAAAGGAUGAAUUCCCUUCCGCUGUCAUUGCAGUCUUUCUAAUUUUUGUGGUUUGUAUAGAGAUAUUUAACGGCCUUAUGUAUUUUCUUUGUAAAUAAAACAUAAAUUAACUUCAAAUAAAAUUUUACUCUGAUCCUUUGAAAUUAUAA